GACGAACGCUGGCGGCGUGCCUAACACAUGCAAGUCGAACGAGGUCCAUGGGUGCUUGCACCCGGAAGACCUAGUGGCGAACGGGUGAGUAACACGUGAGAAACCUGCCCCAGACUCUGGGAUAACCCAAGGAAACUUGAGCUAAUACCGGAUAUUCUCCUUUGGUCGAAUGGCCAGUUGAGGAAAGUUUUUCGGUCUGGGAGGGUCUCGCGUCCUAUCAGCUUGUUGGGGAGGUAACGGCUCACCAAGGCGACGACGGGUAGCUGGUUUGAGAGAACGAUCAGCCACACUGGAACUGAGACACGGUCCAGACUCCUACGGGAGGCAGCAGUUGGGAAUCUUGCGCAAUGGGCGAAAGCCUGACGCAGCAACGCCGCGUGCGGGAUGAAGGCCUUCGGGUUGUAAACCGCUUUCAGCAGGGACGAAAAUGACGGUACCUGCAGAAGAAGCUCCGGCUAACUACGUGCCAGCCGCCGCAGUAA
rnacentral:rRNA from 1 species